GAGAGUUUGAUCCUGGCUCAGGAUAAACGCUGGCGGCGUGUCUAAGGCAUGCAAGUCGUCUGUCCUCCCGUAGCAAUACGGGCGGGCAGGGCAAACGGGUGCGUAACACAUUGGCAACCUACCUUGAGGACGCGAAUAACCCCGAGAAAUCGGGAGUAAUACGCGAUAAAAUCGGGGGGACACAAGUCAUUCCCAAUUAAACCCCGUAGUAAUACGGGGGCCUCAAGAGGGGCCUAUGGCCUAUCAGCUUGUUGGUGAGGUAACGGCUCACCAAGGCGACGACGGGUAGCGGGUGUGAGAGCAUGACCCGCCUCACUGGGACUGAGACACUGCCCAGACUCCUACGGGAGGCUGCAGUCGAGAAUAUUCCUCAAUGGCCGAAAGGCUGAAGGAGCGACGCCGCGUGCAUGAAGACGCCCUUCGGGGUGUAAAGUGCUUUUCUCUGGGAAGAAUUAUGACGGUACCAGAGGAAUAAGGAGCCGCUAACCUCGUGCCAGCAGCGGCGGUAAUACGAGGGCUCCAAGCGUUAUCCGGAUUUAUUGGGCGUAAAGCGUCCGCAGGCGGCUGAAUACAUCUUCUGUUAAAUCUAUUGACCUAAUCAAUAGGCCGCGGAAGAGAUGGUUCGGAUAGAGACCGGGAGAGGCAAGCGGAAUUGCUGGUGUAGGGGUUAAAUCCGUUAAUAUCAGCAGGAACACCAAAUGCGAAAGCAGCUUGCUAGAACGGUUCUGACGCUCAGGGACGAAAGCGUGGGGAGCGAAUGGGAUUAGAUACCCCAGUAGUCCACGCUGUAAACAAUGGAUGCUAAGCAUUGGCAGUAUCGACCCUGUCAGUGCUGUUCACCUAAGCUAACGCGUUAAGCAUCCCGCCUGGGGAGUACGGCCGCAAGGCUAAAACUCAAAGGA
rnacentral:rRNA from 1 species